rnacentral:rRNA from 1 species
ACCAACAGGGAUUGCCCUAGUAACGGCGAGUGAAGCGGCAACAGCUCAAAUUUGAAAUCUGGCUCUUUCAGAGUCCGAGUUGUAAUUUGCAGAGGGCGCUUUGGCUUUGGCAGCGGUCCAAGUUCCUUGGAACAGGACGUCACAGAGGGUGAGAAUCCCGUACGUGGUCGCUAGCUAUUGCCGUGUAAAGCCCCUUCGACGAGUCGAGUUGUUUGGGAAUGCAGCUCUAAAUGGGAGGUAAAUUUCUUCUAAAGCUAAAUAUUGGCCAGAGACCGAUAGCGCACAAGUAGAGUGAUCGAAAGAUGAAAAGCACUUUGGAAAGAGAGUCAAACAGCACGUGAAAUUGUUGAAAGGGAAGCGCUUGCAGCCAGACUUGCUUGCAGUUGCUCAUCUGGGCUUUUGCCCGGUGCACUCUUCUGUAGGCAGGCCAGCAUCAGUUUGGGCGGUGGGAUAAAGGUCUCUGUCAUGUACCUCUCUUCGGGGAGGCCUUAUAGGGGAGGCGACAUACCACCAGCCUGGACUGAGGUCCGCGCAUCUGCUAGGAUGCUGGCGUAAUGGCUGUAAGCGGCCCGUCUUGAAACACGGACCAAGGAGUCUAACAUCUAUGCGAGUGUUUGGGUGUCAAGCCCGAGCGCGUAAUGAAAGUGAACGGAGGUGGGAACCCGCAAGGGCGCACCAUCGACCGAUCCUGAAGUUUACGGAAGGAUUUGAGUAAGAGCAUGGCUGUUGGGACCCGAAAGAUGGUGAACUAUGCUUGAAUAGGGUGAAGCCAGAGGAAACUCUGGUGGAGGCUCGCAGCGGUUCUGACGUGCAAAUCGAUCGUCAAAUUUGGGCAUAGGGGCGAAAGACUAAUCGAACUAUCUAGUAGCUGGUUCCUGC